rnacentral:rRNA from 1 species
UGGGGAAUAUUGCACAAUGGGCGCAAGCCUGAUGCAGCCAUGCCGCGUGUAUGAAGAAGGCCUUCGGGUUGUAAAGUACUUUCAGCGGGGAGGAAGGUGUUGAGGCUAAUAACCUCAGCAAUUGACGUUACCCGCAGAAGAAGCACCGGCUAACUCCGUGCCAGCAGCCGCGGUAAUACGGAGGGUGCAAGCGUUAAUCGGAAUUACUGGGCGUAAAGCGCACGCAGGCGGUCUGUCAAGUCGGAUGUGAAAUCCCCGGGCUCAACCUGGGAACUGCAUUCGAAACUGGCAGGAUAGAGUCUUGUAGAGGGGGGUAGAAUUCCAGGUGUAGCGGUGAAAUGCGUAGAGAUCUGGAGGAAUACCGGUGGCGAAGGCGGCCCCCUGGACAAAGACUGACGCUCAGGUGCGAAAGCGUGGGGAGCAAACA